rnacentral:rRNA from 1 species
AGUGAACGCUGGCGGCAGGCCUAACACAUGCAAGUCGAGCGGCAGCGCGGGGGCAACCCUGGCGGCGAGCGGCGGACGGGUGAGGAAUUCGUCGGAAUCUGCCUUUUUGUGGGGGAUAACGUAGGAAAACUAACGCUAAUACCGCAUCGGUCCAACGGGGGAAAGGGGGGGACGGCAAGGCCCCACGAGAAAAGAUAGCCCGACGCCCGAUUGGCUAGUUGGUGGGGUAAAGGCCCACCAAGGCGACGAUCGGUAGCUGGUCUGAGAGGAUGAUCAGCCACACUGGGACUGAGACACGGCCCAGACUCCUACGGGAGGCAGCAGUGGGGAAUAUUGGACAAUGGGCGCAAGCCUGAUCCAGCCAUGCCGCGUGUGUGAAGAAGGCCUUCGGGUUGUAAAGCACUUUUGUCCGGAAAGAAAUCCCUGGAGCUAAUACCUUCGGGGGAUGACGGUACCGGAAGAAUAAGCACCGGCUAACUUCGUG